rnacentral:rRNA from 1 species
CCUACGGGAGGCAGCAGUGGGGAAUAUUGGGCAAUGGGCGCAAGCCUGACCCAGCAACGCCGCGUGAAGGAAGAAGGCUUUCGGGUUGUAAACUUCUUUUCUGAGGGACGAAGAAAGUGACGGUACCUCAGGAAUAAGCCACGGCUAACUACGUGCCAGCGGCCGCGGUAAUACGUAGGUGGCAAGCGUUAUCCGGAUUUAUUGGGUGUAAAUGGCGUGUAGGCGGGAAAGAAAGUACGAUGUGAAAACUCAGGGCUCAACCCUGAGCCUGCAUUUGAAACUGUUUUUCUUGAGUGCUGGAGAGGCAAUCGGAAUUCCGUGUGUAGUGGUGAAAUGCGUAGAUAUACGGAGGAACACCAGUGGCGAAGGCGGAUUGCUGGACAGUAACUGACGCGGAGGCGCGAAAGCGUGGGGAGCAAACAGGAUUAGAUACCCGGGUAGUC